AUUGAACGCUGGCGGCAGGCCUAACACGUGCAAGUCGAGCGGAUGAAGGGAGCUUGCUCCUGGAUUCAGCGGCGGACGGGUGAGUAAUGCCUAGGAAUCUGCCUGGUAGUGGGGGAUAACGUCCGGAAACGGGCGCUAAUACCGCAUACGUCCUGAGGGAGAAAGUGGGGGAUCUUCGGACCUCACGCUAUCAGAUGAGCCUAGGUCGGAUUAGAUAGUUGGUGGGGUAAAGGCCUACCAAGGCGACGAUCCGUAACUGGUCUGAGAGGAUGAUCAGUCACAUUGGAACUGAGACACGGUCCAGACUCCUGCGGGAGGACGCGGUGGGGAAUUUUAGAGAAGGGGGGAAAGCCGAAUCCAGCCAAGCGGGGGGAGGGAAGAAGGUGUUCGGAUGGGAAAGCGUUGUAGGUUGGGGGGAAGGAAAGUAAUUUAAACCCUUACUGUAUUGACGUUACCAAAAGAAUAAGCACCGGCUAACUUCGUG
rnacentral:rRNA from 1 species